UACGGGGGGAGCAAGCGUUGUUCGGAUUUACUGGGCGUAAAGGGCGCGUAGGCGGCCACCGCAAGUCAGUUGCGAAAUCUCUGGGCUUAACCCAGAAAGGUCAACUGAUACUGCGGGGCUAGAGUGCAGAAGGGGCAACUGGAAUUCUCGGUGUAGCGGUGAAAUGCGUAGAUAUCGAGAGGAACACCUGCGGCGAAGGCGGGUUGCUGGGCUGACACUGACGCUGAGGCGCGAAAGCUAGGGGAGCGAACGGG
rnacentral:rRNA from 1 species